rnacentral:lncRNA from 1 species
AGGGGAGGGCUGCCUGCAGCGCGACGCGACGCGGGCGGGCGGGUGGUGGGGAUUCCAUUCAAGGGACACCUCGGUAGCAGCCACCUGGCCACGACAGCGUCCGCGUCCCAGACUCUGCCCGACUCCGGGCUCGUCCGAACUCGGGCAUAACCUAGAAAGCCAUCUUCGCAUUCCCAGAAUGACUUCCCCAGCUGAGGAAUUCGGCGUUCAGGGUUGCGGCUUUCUUCUGUGCUUUUAUGAGAGCCCCCGCUCAAGGCAUCUUCUACAAUUUGUUGAGUUGGAAGAGAAACAAGGCAAAUGGCAGGAAAAUCAAAUGAGAUCAUGACUUCACCAGAGCAAAACCGAGAUCCCUCGCCCCCAGUGAAAGCAAACAAAAGCUGGAAGAGAACGAGUUCGACCUGAUCUCCUCCGCCUUCUCCACCCCCAUCUCCAGGCCCAGACCCGGAGACGCCGGGGUUCAGAGGGGAGACUCAGAGUCCCAGAGCGCCCUCCACCCCGAGAAAGACCCAGAGCUGCCCUUGGGAUUCCAGGACAAGGAACCAGAGGAGUGUCCUCUAAGGAGGCUGCUGGGCGGGAUCACGAUAAGCGUCCAGGGACCGUGCCCUCCAGCUCCGCUGCUCCACCCAUGGCCAUCUGGGACUUGCUGGGACCAACAAAUUGAGGCAGACGUGGUGGCCCUCCAGCUUCGGAACCAUCGUUCACCCUGCAUCUGUCUUUGCUUUCACGUUCUUGGAAUCUCAAGACCUCAGAGGGUGAAGAGGGGGCCAGCCUCCUAGAAGAUGGACGGGAGCCAUGGCACCUGAGCCGGAGCCAGACUGCUGCUGGCCACGCGAGGGCAGCCAUCUGGACCCUCCAGCCCUCGUCGAGUGGUCAGGUGACCACGGUCACACGCAUGAGCCCAGGAGAGGCCAGCAGAACCACCCAGUGUGCCAGUAAGACACGACCAGCUGGCCCUUUCCUGGAGCCAUCAAGGCUUGGGUGGUUUGUUACACAGCAGCUAGAGCUCCAAUCAUUGUUAACACAGUGAAAGCGGAGGCUCGGCCUUGAAACCACAGCCGUAAAGAGGAUUCCAGCAUGACACAGGGAUGACAGCACUUUCUGGAGGCUUUGCCCGAACACCCCUACUGCGUCCUUAGCACAUUCAUUAGGAUUCCGGGAGCCCAACCCUGCUUUGGCUUUUCGCUUGCACGUUAAAUAUUUGACCACCAUUUCCCACCUGAAAGAAAGAGCUACCUUUAGCACUGGGGACACAGAUACAUUUGGCACAAUAAUGUCUUCUAAGAACUCUCAGGACAACAAAGGAGGUAGACAAGAACCUUAUUGUAUUCGCUCAGCAAAUAUCUGUGUCCCAGGCACUAUGCAGAGGGCUGGGAAUACAAUGAUAGGAAAGCCACAAAUCCAGACUCACAGGAUCGGAGCCUGGCCCUGAAGGGGACGCUGCUGAAAAGAAAAUGCAUUAACGGAUAAUGGCAAACAGUGCUAAAUGCUGUGAAGCAGCAGCUCAGAUGGCUCUGGAAGAGAAUUAGUCUGGUGAGAGGAGGCCAGAAAGGUUUUACUGGAGGAAGAGCAUUUCGCACAAAGACUCGAAAGAGCAGAUGAAGUGCCUGGCCAAAGCGGAGGGGAAGAAGGUUCCAGGCCCGAGGGAAUAUGGCGGUGGCCCUCACCAGGAGCAGUUAGGUUAACCUAGAACCCAACUCUAUUGUACCUUUAGACACAGAGUGGCUUUUGCCUGGUUUUACCAUACAUUGAAUUUUCCUGGAAUGCAAGGACCAUGCCAGUUGAGAGAAGGCUGAGGUGGAUUUGCUUGGGGAUUCACACUGGUCACCCUCCUGGAGGGAGAGCACUGGCAGCAACUCCACUCCACGUGCUGGCGGCACAUGAGCGGUCAACACCCCACACCUAGACCUGCCCGCACGUGGAGCGGUCCCUCUCACCUGUUUCUUCCUGUUCUGCUCAAGCACCUGCCUCCUUCAUUGGGACUUGCAGCAUUAUAAUAUAUAUGGUUUUAUUAUACAUUCCACUUAUUCUUCCUUAUUUGAGAGUUUCAGAAUGACAUGUGUAUGUUUUCAAUCCAAUGAGUAGGUAGGUUAUAUUAUUUAUGAGGUUCAUUUUGGGGUAGACAAAGCAGCCCUGGAUCUGAUGAGGUUAAAACCACAGGUUAAGACCUGCCUUUCGCUGUGGGACAGGGAGUUGGGCUGGUGUAAGAACUACCAGGAGGAAGGGGGUUGGAGCCCAGAGACCUGGGAGCAGGGUGGGACCAGAUGAGGCUGGCAGAGGACUGGGGACAUCACAACCCUCGACUCUGCCGGAGGGGAUGCGAAAAGGUACCAUCUGGUGGUACCUCCGAGGUGCAACAUGGAACAUCACCCGAAACAGCCAGUCCGUUCCUAGGCAUAGACCCAAGAGAAGUGGAAACAUGUCCUGAACACAGAUGUUCACAGCAGCACUAUUCGUAUGAGCCCAAAAGAAGAAACAACUAAAAUGCCCAUCAACUAGUGAAUGCAUGAACCAAAGAGUAGGUUCUUCAUAUAAUGGAAUAUUAUUCAGCCACAGAAAGGAAUGAACUACUGAUACAUACUGUGAUAUGGACGAACCGUGAAAACGCUCUGCUGAGUGAAAGAAGCCAGACGCAAAAGGCCACAGAGUAUGCAGUUCAGUUUACAUGAAAUGUCCAGAAGAGGCAAAUCCACAGAAGCAGAAAGAAGAUUUGGGGUUGCCAGAGGCUGGGGCUGAGGAGGUGAUGGAAAGUGACUGACAGCGGGUCUGGAGUUUCCUUGGCGGGCGAUGGAAAUAUUUUGGACUUAAAGAGUGGUGAGAAUGGUGCGACUUUGUUAAUAUUGUAAGUAAAACAACAUCAACAGUGAUAAAGACUGGAUGGUAUGCCUUAAAGGGGUGACUUUUAAUGGCAUUUGAGUUAGAUCUCAAAUAAAACCAACAGAGGACGCUGAAGAGAUAGACAGGGUCACCGCAUUGGAGGCAUCACGGCCCUAGUCGAAGAGUUUGAUUCUCAACCUCGGACUGGUGGGAGCCACUGACGGUUUUAGGCAUCACGGUGACAAUAUAGUUUUGCAGUUGAGAAAGAUCUCUGUGUAGAGUGGACUAGAGAUGGGCCGCUUCGAAGGCCACAAAAAGCCAGGUAUCUGGAGCCACACCUGGCUUCAGGCUUGAGCAGGUGAGGAGGCGGGCCCACCCUCGGGGACGCUGCGAGACCACCAUGUGGACAGCCGUCUUCUAGAACAGCUGUCACGGGGGGACAACCAUGCUUGAGGAGACAAGAGCUGGGAGAAAUUGCUUUAGACGGGGCGGGGGGGAGCCUGUGGGAAGACAUUGUAGGAGAGGCGGCCUUGGAGCAGAACUUUUGGUGCAGGGCAGGCAAAGAUUCUAAGGGCCUGCUGGGAAGAAGGGAUCACAGAAGCAGAAGCGCGGAGGCCAGGAGGGCCCAGGUUAAAUGGGCUUCUGUUUAGCCGGGUCAGAAGGGAAGCAAAGGCGUUCUCUCGUGGCCCAGCAGGGUUAAGGACCCAGCGUUGUGACUGCAGCAGCCUGGGUGGCUGCUGUGGCAGUGGGUUUCAUCCCUUUGAUCCCUGGCCCGGGAACUUCCAUAUGCCAUGGGUGGGGCCAAGAAGGAGGGGGGCAAACGUUAUGGUAAUGUAUUAGGGUUCUCCAGAGAAACAAAACCAAUAGGAACUAUAUAGAUACAUGUAUAUACAAGAGAAGAUUUAUUAUAGGAAUUGGUUUAUGUGACUCUGGAGACCAGGAGGUCCCAGAUCUGUCCUCUGUAAGCCAGAGAACCAGGGAAGCUGGUGGCGUAAUGCAGCCUGAGGACAGGGGACCUGAUGGCGUGUGUCCCGAUCCAAGUCUGAAGGCCAGAGACCUGAGAGCACCAGUCACCAAGGACAAGACGAGGGGGCUGUUCCAGCUCAGACCAGGACAGACGUGCUCCUCCUUGGCCUUAUCGCUCUGUUCAGGCCUCUCCGAUCAGAGCCGCCCAUGAGCAUCAGCGAGGGUCUCCUCUGUCCUUCCUCAGACUCCCGAUUCACACGCUCAUCUCUCCCAGAAACAGCCCUCAGAGACGCACCCUGCAAUGCGGUUUCACCAGCCAUCCGGGCAACCCGUCGUGCAUUAAGCUUACCACCACCCUGACGCCCGCACGCAGCUCCUUCAACCGCAUUUCCUCGCCUCGUGGAGACAUCAGCCGGGUCUUAACGCCCCCUGACACGGAACCACCGUCCCGCCUCCACCAGAAAACGCCCUGAUCUGACCCCUCCCGUUUCUCACAGCCUCCCCGCGAGGCUUUAGCGCUUCUCCACGGGAGACCGAGGUUCACAGGGAUCUCACGGACUUGACCCAGAAGUCCCACAGCCACACAAGGGCUGGCUGGCUUCUCAUCUCAGGUCUAUUUGAACACAACCACUGCACAAGGUGGGUUCAGGCCAACUCGUAGCGUGAGGACUUUAUUUCACAGUCAGUAAAGUCGUUCCUUCUCUUCCUGCACCAUAAAACUCCUAAAAC